rnacentral:rRNA from 1 species
AGAGUUUGAUCAUGGCUCAGAUUGAACGCUGGCGGCAGGCCUAACACAUGCAAGUCGAACGGUAACAGGAAGCAGCUUGGCUGCUUUGCUGACGAGUGGCGGACGGGUGAGUAAUGUCUGGGAAACUGCCUGAUGGAGGGGGAUAACUACUGGAAACGGUGGCUAAUACCGCAUAACGUCGCAAGACCAAAGAGGGGGACCUUCGGGCCUCUUGCCAUCAGAUGUGCCCAGAUGGGAUUAGCUUGUUGGUGAGGUAACGGCUCACCAAGGCGACGAUCCCUAGCUGGUCUGAGAGGAUGACCAGCCACACUGGAACUGAGACACGGUCCAGACUCCUACGGGAGGCAGCAGUGGGGAAUAUUGCACAAUGGGCGCAAGCCUGAUGCAGCCAUGCCGCGUGUAUGAAGAAGGCCUUCGGGUUGUAAAGUACUUUCAGCGGGGAGGAAGGUGUUGUGGUUAAUAACCGCAGCAAUUGACGUUACCCGCAGAAGAAGCACCGGCUAACUCCGUGCCAGCAGCCGCGGUAAUACGGAGGGUGCAAGCGUUAAUCGGAAUUACUGGGCGUAAAGCGCACGCAGGCGGUCUGUCAAGUCGGAUGUGAAAUCCCCGGGCUCAACCUGGGAACUGCAUUCGAAACUGGCAGGCUUGAGUCUUGUAGAGGGGGGUAGAAUUCCAGGUGUAGCGGUGAAAUGCGUAGAGAUCUGGAGGAAUACCGGUGGCGAAGGCGGCCCCCUGGACAAAGACUGACGCUCAGGUGCGAAAGCGUGGGGAGCAAACAGGAUUAGAUACCCUGGUAGUCCACGCCGUAAACGAUGUCUACUUGGAGGUUGUGCCCUUGAGGCGUGGCUUCCGGAGCUAACGCGUUAAGUAGACCGCCUGGGGAGUACGGCCGCAAGGUUAAAACUCAAAUGAAUUGACGGGGGCCCGCACAAGCGGUGGAGCAUGUGGUUUAAUUCGAUGCAACGCGAAGAACCUUACCUGGUCUUGACAUCCACAGAACUUUCCAGAGAUGGAUUGGUGCCUUCGGGAACUGUGAGACAGGUGCUGCAUGGCUGUCGUCAGCUCGUGUUGUGAAAUGUUGGGUUAAGUCCCGCAACGAGCGCAACCCUUAUCCUUUGUUGCCAGCGGUCCGGCCGGGAACUCAAAGGAGACUGCCAGUGAUAAACUGGAGGAAGGUGGGGAUGACGUCAAGUCAUCAUGGCCCUUACGACCAGGGCUACACACGUGCUACAAUGGCGCAUACAAAGAGAAGCGACCUCGCGAGAGCAAGCGGACCUCAUAAAGUGCGUCGUAGUCCGGAUUGGAGUCUGCAACUCGACUCCAUGAAGUCGGAAUCGCUAGUAAUCGUGGAUCAGAAUGCCACGGUGAAUACGUUCCCGGGCCUUGUACACACCGCCCGUCACACCAUGGGAGUGGGUUGCAAAAGAAGUAGGUAGCUUAACCUUCGGGAGGGCGCUUACCACUUUGUGAUUCAUGACUGGGGUGAAGUCGUAACAAGGUAACCGUAGGGGAACCUGCGGUUGGAUCACCU